CGCCCGAGACCUAGCCUGCGGCCAUGGCGGCCGAGCCCAGGAUCCGCCCCCAAGAACAGGACCCGGCGCACGGGAGGGAGGGAGGGCUCCUCUUGUCGGCCGUCGAUGCCUCCAGCAGCGGCUGCCUAGGGUUCUUCUUCAACCAGCGCCAGCGGCAUCGUCGUCAGUCAGGCGGUGAAGACCACCACGGCCCCGCUGCUGCUGCUGCUGCUAGUGCGGACCGACGCCACGCCAUGGAGGCCAGUUUCCCACUCUCUCCUUCCUUGCACCGCAGAUCUUGGAUUGGAUUUCGCAGCAGGACCUUGCUGUCGACUUCCGUGGAUUGGACCUUGCUUCGACGCCAUGUAUUGUAUUCGAUUCGCAUGGCUCCGAGCUCCAUCGUGAUGGAUAGCUGUUUGAUGAUUUGAUGGCUAAUGAAGAAUAAAGAUGAUGUGUUAUGGGGCAGAAGCACGCUGGGGACGGUGAAAGCGACGGGAGCAGAAUGGGGAUGGUGAAAGCUGUAGCAAUGGGAGUGAGAUAGAAUAUGAAGCCUUCUUUAGAACAAAAUACAGAGCUGGUAUAACCAGGAACCAUGCUGCGUGCACGUUCUCAACACAACAGUGGGGACCUUGCUGUCCACUUACGUUGGGCUGGACCUUGCUUUGAUGCCUUGUAUUGGAUUCGAUUUGCACGGCGUGAUGGACAGCAGGAGCAGCAUGGACUUGGUACAGCAAAGGACAAGGGCUGCAUUUCAGCAUCAAUUACAAAUUGCCAUGGAUUUGGCACAGCAGAGGAGAAGGGGUUCAUCGUGCCACUGACAGAUGCUAGGGCAUCGUCUCUGGCCUAGGUGGCGUCUUCCGUUGGCCCUGCUGCCAUGCGGCAGUGGUGCUGUUUGGAAUCGGCUACAAAACAGCCAAGGGGCUUGCCAACCACAAGGGUCAACUUGGAGCUCCUCUCUACCCCUGCAGGUGAUUAAUCUUGCUGUGGCAGACACCGGGGGAGCACUAGCGGAUGUGUUCCCUCUGAAAGCAGUACACCCGCUGCUCCAGCACCUUCUUUUGCUAUGUCAAGUAGUCCACAUCAAGGACCUUGCUGUCAACUUCCAUGGGAUUGGGCCUUGCUUAGACGCCAUGUAUUCCAUUCGAUUCGCUUGGCGUGAUGGACAGCAGCAGCAUGGACUCGGUACAGCAGAGGACAAGGGCUACAUUUCAUCGUGCCAGUGCCAGGCAUGGUGCGCGGCUGUCGUGCGACGGAGGUGGUGCCAUUCAGCAUCGGCUACAAAAUCGCCAUGGAUUGGGUACAGCAGAGGAGAAGGGGUUCAUCGUGCCACCGACAGAUGCUAGGGCUUCAUCGCCGGCCUCGGUGGCGUCUUCUGUUAGCCCUGCUGACGUGCUGCAGCGGAGCUGUUUGGCAUUAGCUAAAACAACCAAGGUGAGCUCCUCUCCUCUGGUUACUAUGAGCCUAUCUAAUGACGCCCUCUGCUUUCCUCCUCAACAAUACUUGCCAUGGUUUUGGUCAAUUUUGGUAUGUAAUUUGGCUUCCUGAAUUCAGUCCCUAAUUUAGUAGUACCAAGUAGUAUUGCAUGAUGGAUUAUGUAUAAGUCAAAACACGACAUACAACAUUAGUUAGUUAGUUUAUGGUUUGAAUAAAUCGUAAUGAUUGUAUGGUGGCUGCUUCCUCACCACUCACCCGCCAAAUUAAUAAUGCCUUCUUUGUUCUUCUAGUAUACAGUAGUGUUGUAUGAUGUUCAAUGAGCUAGCCAGCCAUGUGUGCUGUCAUGUGAAAAUUUCCUCAUUCUCAUUUAUGUAUGUAUGGGUGGAUGGCGACCAAAUCAAGUCCUCCUUAGUUGUGUGGCAAGCUUCGUUUACUAUUGAAAGAAUUUUUCCUUGAUGAUCAAUUGGUUGUUUCAGUAGUAGCGGAUGGGUUCCCUCUCAGAGCAGUACACCUGCUGCUUCAGCACCUUCUGCUCCGUCAGGUAGUCCACAUCAAGGUUGUUGUUGCUCUCAGUGGGACACCCAACACCACUAGCGAGCGACUCCCUUGCUAGCGGCGCUGUUGCUGGGCACAACUUUGGCCGGUCAAGAAGCUCUACAUGCUCCAACGGGCCGCUCACUCGGACGGCGCUGUUGGUUCCUCUAUCUCUAUCACUCUUUCAUGUUAUGUGUCCAUGGCAAUCGAGACAUGGUAAAUUUGUGCUAGCCAUUGUGUCAUGGUGAUUUCUAGGGAUUAUUGUGGUGCACCUGCAAUGACUAAAUAGCAGCCCAAAUUCUAAUUUUCUUGCUGCUGCUUUGUGGCGCACUAGUCGUAGCAGCAGCACUUGAAGUGCAAGUCUUGUGGUAGCUAGCACAACACAGCCAGUGGUGGUGUUCUAGUAGGAGUUGCAGUUUUGCAAAUGUCUUUUCACGUCCUACGAAUUAUAUGCUUGAGAAAUAUAAAGCAUGUGCUGGCUGUUAUGUUUGUAGAGAAGAGGUACUUAAAUCGCUGAAAUUGGAGUCAUGGUCUGUUGUCUGGAGCCAAAAUAUAUACUACACUGUUGCUGCAAUUUUCUAUGAAAAGAUGGUUUCUGGUGGACAAGUUCUUGUGUCCUAAAAUUUGGGAUGCCCAUCAACAAGUGGGCCUGUUGCCCUCCGAGACGCAUAAAGGGAUUAUUCCUUCUUCCACGGAAUCGAGUGAUUGUUCUGUGCUGUUUGGGAGCUAGGCCAAGGAGAACCUGCUUUGAUUCGAUCUGCUCAACAUUACCCCCAUCUCUUCAUUUCCAAGGCGCUCGACUUCAUGGAGGAGGAUGACGGCCGGGACCCCAAGCCCAAGCCGAUUACCUUUACCUAGACUCCGCAUACAAGGCAAAUGAUGUGCCAACUUCCAACGAUUGAUGUUAGCUAGUGAAAGACUCACUUUUCUGCUAAUGACUACUUGCGUCGUUUUGCUGGACUCACUUGGCUUGCAGGCGCCCGGCUCCAUGGACGAGGAGGAUGAUUGGGAACCCAUGUCCAAGCUGACAUCCUGACAUCGACUAUCCACACACAAGACGCCUUCCAGUUCCAUGGAUGACAUCGACGACGUAGACGUGCGCCCAAACUGAGGAAAUGUCGAGUCCGACCUCAACCUCUACUAUGAGGUUGCCCAAAACGGCUCGCCAUAGAAGCUGGCUUGCUGGUGGUGGAUCCUGGAGUGCCUUUGUCGGUUCAUCGCCAUCAUGGGAGACAUCAGGUCUGCUCUCCUCGGAUGUUGUCUCUGCCUCGGUAUGAGAGCGCUGGCGAGGAGCUCACGGUGCUUCCCAGGCACAGCAAGGUUGUUGUCACCGGAUCUAAAGAAUGGUGUGGAGGUGAAGCUGCAGAGGAUUGCCCUGAGUGUCUUGAAAGCUCCACCUGGUAACAAGGACGACGACGUGAUCGAUGGUCAUUCUGCGGUAGCUUCAGCAUGGGAGAGAAAGACAUAAACUAGUCGAGCAUUGAUCGAUGGUCAUUCUGCGGUAGCUUCAACAUGGGAGAGAAAGACAUAAACUAGUCGAGCAUUGAGUACGAGAAGCCAACAAAGCCAAGGUUACGGUACACAAGACCAUGGUCAUCCUACAGGACGAUGUCCUGCAGCCAGGCCAAUUUUGACUCAACUUGGAAGCUGCGAGCGGUAAUCACUGUUGCCAUCCCGGCAACUAAUCAUGACACGGCAAGUAAUUACGUCUGUAAGAUGAAUGAGAUUGGGCGAGUGCAGUCAAGUCAUUCUCAUUGUCAUUGUGUUUGUUAGAGAGUGAACCUGACACCCACACUAUGGAGAUACUGGAAGCACUUGAACCUUGUGCCACUCCAUCGGAGGAGCGGCUCUUCCAUGGGGCCCAGCCGCAUUUCCUUGAGAAAUAUCCAUGUGGGAGGGAGGGAGCAUCCAGCAGACCUUAUUGUUGUACUCUACAACUUGCACUAGAGAAGAGAAGAAAAGAGAAGAGAAGGCUGGCAGACUUGAUUUGACGAGCCGUCGCUGUAUCUUGCUGUUUUGCUGUAUCUUUUUGGCCCAGGAGCAAGGGACAUGAUCCUUGUAUCUGUCUGCGCACCACAAAUCUUGUUGGCUGCACAAGCAAAGCUCUUCCUAAGUAGAUCCAAACUCUAUGGACUUUAGUCUUGUAAGUGAAGUGGGUAGCGUGGAUAGAUUGUUGUCAAGUGAUUAACUAUGGCUUAAUUGUACAUCUGAUGAUGAAUGGCGGGGUUGUUAUAAUGAAUGGCAUGUCGCUUUUUAAUUUCAUGUGCAAUGCACAAUAAAUGCAACGCGUUAUGCUUUGAAAUUUC